rnacentral:misc_RNA from 1 species
GGAUGGAUCAUGUAACCCAAUCGUCUGGUUGUGUCCGCCUAGAGGAAUGAUGAUGAUGAUGACGUCGAUGAUUGGUGUGUGGCUCCGGCAACGGGACCCGCCCGGCAUGGAUGAUAUAAAUUCAUUCAUUACAUUGCUCUGGGAGCACGGAUUAACCAAUAGACACAAACACCUCUUGCACUUGUUACCUUCGAUGGAUUGCAGCAGCACACCGUUGUUGCAGUCCAUUCGUAUCCCUCAUAUCAUAAACUCCUGUUUACAUUUCUAUGACUCUAUUCUUUCUUCUUCUUAGCCUCUGGCUCUGAAGACGUAGAAAAUCCAUAACCAAAACAACUUUCAACAACGGAUGUCUUGGUUCCCGCAUCGAUGAAGAACGCCGCGAACUGCGAUACUUAAUGUGAAACGCAACACAGCGCGAAUCAUCAAGGUUUCGAACGCACAUUGCGCUGUUGAAGUCUUCUUCGACAGCAUGCCUGUUUGAGAAUCGUUUACAACCUCAAUCUCAUUCUUCCUGUCCCCCCUCAGGGACACGAUCGAUGAGACUGGACGCUGAGCGCCCUACCCGCUUUUCACAAAGAGUGUAGGCCGCUUGAAAUGGAGAUCCCUAUCUGGAGUGUGAUUGCAUCUCGAUGGAUGCAUCUGUGCUGUGUUGUUGAUCAGCCUCGUGUUGUUCAUCUUCUUCACAGUGCAAUCAUGGAGCGAAUCACACUCUCUACCAAAGGAUAGGCUCGAAGAAUUCGAUAAUGGAAUUCAAUCCUAGAGUUCAUUCUCUAAGCCUCUUAUCAAAUCGCGAUCUCAAAUCAAGCAAGACCACCCGCUGAACUUAAGCAUAUCAAUAAGCGGAGGAAAAGAAACUAACAAGGAAGCCCUCAGUAACGGCGAGUGAAGCGGGCUAAGCUCAAGUUUCAAAUCUGCGUCUCUGCGGAGGCGUCGAAUUGUAGUCUAGAGGGGCGUCUUGUGUGGUGUGCCGAGCAUAAGUGUCCUCGAACGGACUGUCAGAGAGGGUGUGAACCCCGUCUUUGGCUCGGAUUGCAUCGCCGAUCAAGAGACGUUUCCCACGAGUCGGGUUGUUUGGGAAUACAGCCUUAAUUGGGUGGUAGAUGCCAUCUAAAGCUAACUUAUCUGCGGGAGACCGAUAGCGAACAAGUAGCGUGAGCGAAAGAUGAAAAGCACUCUGGAGAGAGAGUAAAAAGGACCUGAAAUUGUUGAAAGGGAAGGGAUUGGAAUCAGUCGUUACCCUACGGGGAUUCGCUGGUUGCCUGUGUGCCUGGUUGCGUGCUCGAGCCCCUAAAGCCGACGCGUGGCCAGUCGCAUGCAGGGGGCCGGUUACUUCUCCGUGCGGGUAGGCCAAUAUCAGCUAGUAUGGACAUGGCGCCGGACAAGACUGUCAGGAAGGUAGGGACUGCGCUGUGUACGCAGCCGGUUCUGUUAUAGCCUGGUGGGGAUCCGGUGCCGCUGGCUGAGGAAAACCCUGGUGUGCCAUGCACGCGCCUCGGCGAGAUGCGCUGUCGGACGGCUGUUACCUUACAAAGGUGGCGGUUGGUGCCGGUGGUAGCGUCGUCGGCGUGCAAAGGAUAUUGGCGAAUUGGUUUCCAUCCACCCGUCUUGAAACACGGACCAAGGAGUCCGCCGUCUACGCGAGUAUUUGGGCGGCAAACCCGAAUGCGCAAUGAAAGUGAAGGCGUCAGUGGGCGCUGAGAUGGGACGGCCCGCGCGAAGCGAGCCCGCACCACCGGCCGAUCUGGACCCUUGUGGUGAAAGAUUUGAGCAAGAGCGUAGCCCGUGGGACCCGAAAGAUGGUGAACUUUGCCUGAGUAGGUUGAAGUCAGUGGAAACACUGAUGGAGGACCGUCGAGAUACUGACGUGCAAAUCGUUCUUCUGACUUGGGUAAAGGGGCGAAAGACUAAUCGAACCAUCUAGUAGCUGGUUCCCUC